GACGAACCGUGCGAACGUUGUUCGGAAUCACUGGGCUUAAAGGGCGCGUAGGCGGGCUGGCAAGUCUGGGGUGAAAGCCCACGGCUCAACCGUGGAAGUGCCUUGGAUACUGCUAGUCUAGAGGGAGGUAGGGGCGGGCGGAACUUCCGGUGGAGCGGUGAAAUGCGUAGAUAUCGGAAGGAACACCGGUGGCGAAAGCGGCGCGCUGGAUCGGUACUGACGCUGAGGCGCGAAAGCUAGGGGAGCAAACGGG
rnacentral:rRNA from 1 species